rnacentral:rRNA from 1 species
CCUACGGGGGGCUGCAGUGAGGAAUAUUGGGCAAUGCCCGCAAGGGUGACCCAGCAACGCCGCGUGGAGGAUGAAGGCCGUAAGGUUGUAAACUCCUGUUAGAGGAGAAGAAUAGUACCGAUUGGAUCGGUAUUUGACUGUACCCUCAGAGAAAGCCCCGGCUAACUACGUGCCAGCAGCCGCGGUAAUACGGAGGGGGCAAGCUUUACUCGGAUUUACGGGGUGGCAGGCGGGCUAGCGCGGCAUAGCAGAAAUCCUACAGCUUAACUGUAGAACUGCCUUUGAUACUGUUAUUCUUGAGUUCGGGAGAGAGAGACGGAAUUCCAGGUGUAGUGGUGAAAUACGUAGAUAUCUGGAAGAACACCAGUUGCGAAGGCGGUCUCUUGGUCCGAUACUGACGCUGAGGCGCGAAAGCGUGGGGAGCAAACAGGAUUAGAUACCCUUGUAGUC